ensembl:lncRNA
CAUAUGCUGGUGUCCUUGCAGCCUCAAUGAAACCUCCCAUCCUGCAAGAUUUGGUUAGCUCAAGUACUCCCACCCUGGGAUGCUUCUUAAAAGAGCUAAACUGAUACUGUGAGACAGACGAGCAGACAGAUAGCAAGAAUAAGCAAGAGGAAGCCUGGCUUUGGCUGUUAUAGACAUCUGAAAGCUGGAGAAAUCAUAAUUUUACCACCGAGUGAAUUGCCAGGGACUGGAUGUACGAGGGUCAUCUCCACCCACAGGAUUUACAAAAUUAAUACCAAAACAGGUGCAAAAUGAGUAGUUCAUGAUGUCAGCCCUGACAUUUUCCGGCAACUGAUGGAAGCUACUCUUACAAAUACAUUAAUACAUGAAAUUUGCACUAUAAAGAUUAUUAUGUGCUUUUAAAAAAUUAUUUCACUACUUUCAAAUGAUCCAUUGAAAAUAAUUUUCAAGACAAGACAUCUUUGUAUUCUUUAUGCUGUUAUCAUCACCAUAUCUGACAUUCGUAACAGAUUUUUUGCUUCAUCUUAGUAGAAUGCAGGUUUUUUUCUGAUACCAUAUAAAAACAUACCUAGGAGUGUUGAUUUUGCACCAAAUGUCAGAUCAUUUGAUUCUUCCAAUUAUUAAACACAUGAGCUGUGAUGGCAAUGCUGCAUGCAAUUUAGCUAGAGAAAGGUUAGAGGAUAAAUGCUCAGAAUACAGCCUGUGUGCAUCCAAAUCUCCCUACUCUUGGGGAAAUAAAAGACAUCUGAGUGAAAAUGCCAUCGCCUCCCUGUCAUAAUUUCAUU